rnacentral:rRNA from 1 species
AACCCUAUACGGGGGAUCACUUGGCUCGUGGGUCGAUGAAGAACGUAGCUAACUGCGUGAAAUCGUGUGAACUGCAGGACACAUGAACAUCGACAUUUUGAACGCAUAUUGCGGUACAUGCAAAAAAAAAUUAACGACA